AGCCUCAUUCCAGAUAAGAAUGGGUACUGUUGAUCGAGAUCCAAAAUUGGAAAAUGGGUGGCUACACUGUGGGUCAUGCUUCCAUCAUAGUAAAUGCACUGCAGCAGUGGGAAUGAGACCUGUAACACGU